rnacentral:tRNA from 1 species
UCCCUGGUGGUCCAGUGGUUAAGACACUGUGCUUCCAAUGCAGGGGAAGCAGGUUCAACCCCUGGUCAGGGAA